CAAGGGAACAAGUCUAGUUGAUGAUAUAGGGAGUUACCUGUUUUUACUGCUGCAUUCAUCCACUGUCAAACCGCGAAACAUAUAAUAUAGUAAUCUUGCGUUCGUAUUUUACUGAAAAAUAGAAUUAGGUGUGUUUCGUUCACUAUGGUAUUAUUGGCCAAUUUUAGCUUUGUAUCCAAAUGGAACAUGUGACCGAGAUUCUGACUGUCUUGAUCCCGUUGGCUACCACUGCUGUAAAGGUACCACGUGGUGUUGCCCUGAUGAGUACAUAUGUACCGCAACCAAAACUUGUAUUAGCAACAUCGGGCUCGGGCAUGAACAAAGUACCGGAUAUGAAGAGAAUAAGAGACGUCGAAGCACGUUCCGUGUCGGUAAAAUCGUAGGCAGUUUUUUGGUCCUAUCGGAAUUGGCGGUGUCUGUGGCUGCUGCUUUAUAAAGAACAAGAGCAAAGGGAAUACGUCAGAUUCUCAAAUUCCAGUUGAAUAUCAAGCUCAACCGCCAGCUGAACCUCCCUCUGAACCUCUAGCUCAACUGUCAGUCCAACCUUUAGCUAGAUUUUCAGCUCAACCUCCAGAUGAGCCCCUACCUGCAUACACAAGAUUAUGACCCGGCUGAGGAUGGACUACUGCUUGUGAUUUAUGUCAUAAUCGCAAUUUUUCAAAUCAACCGGUGAUUUUUGGCAAAAAUGCUGAUUUAAUUUGCCGGUUACU